rnacentral:lncRNA from 13 species
GCAGGACGGACGCGGAGCUGCGCGGAGCGGACCAGCUCCGAAAAGGAUGUCAUUGCAACUCGUUUAAUAGAACGCGACGGACGCGGAAUCAGCGGAAUGGCGGAUUGGAACCAGAGAGAGUGGCGUCGCGACUCAAUUAACAGAACGCGGCGGACGCAGGACGGAUCGGAACAUUCGGAACAGAACUGAGCGGCGCGGCGCGUCGCGACUCGUUUAACAGAACGCAACGUACGCGGAUCAGCUCCGGAACGAGUGGCGUUACGAUUAAUCUAAUUGAUCGUACAGUAUCGUAUGUACUAUAAUCCAUUAUUGCACAUCGUGGGAUAAUCUGAAGAUCUGACAACUUAAAAGUAGAAAAUGAGACCUAAUAGAAGUAUCAGGCAUCGGUGGAGCAACUUUGCGAUUCAUCGUAGCUAUGUGGCUGAUAAAUUUCACUGUUACGCAUCUAUUGAUUAACUCCAGAGGAUCUGAGAGGAGGCGGAG